rnacentral:rRNA from 1 species
CCUACGGGUGGCAGCAGUGGGGAAUAUUGGACAAUGGGGGCAACCCUGAUCCAGCCAUGCCGCGUGUGUGAAGAAGGCCCUCGGGUUGUAAAGCACUUUCAGUGAGGAAGAACGCCUGGUGGUUAAUACCCAUCAGGAAAGACAUCACUCACAGAAGAAGCACCGGCUAACUCCGUGCCAGCAGCCGCGGUAAUACGGAGGGUGCGAGCGUUAAUCGGAAUUACUGGGCGUAAAGCGCGCGUAGGUGGCUUGAUAAGCCGGUUGUGAAAGCCCCGGGCUCAACCUGGGAACGGCAUCCGGAACUGUCAAGCUAGAGUGCAGGAGAGGAAGGUAGAAUUCCAGGUGUAGCGGUGAAAUGCGUAGAGAUCGGGAGGAAUACCAGUGGCGAAGGCGGCCUUCUGGACUGACACUGACACUGAGGUGCGAAAGCGUGGGUAGCAAACAGGAUUAGAUACCCGUGUAGUC